UUGAAGUUAGCAACUUGAUAUUUGGCAUGCAUGUGUAUCUCAUGGAGCUGCACAUUUUGAGUGUUGAAAGGUCAAGGUCAUCCUUCAAGGUCAAAUGUCAAAUUUAUGGUGUCUGUCCGUCCGAAAACUUUAACAUUGGCCAUAACUUUUUCAAUAUUGAAGAUAGCAACUUGAUAUUUGGCAUGCAUGUGUAUCUCAUGGAGCUGAACAUUUUGAGUGGUGAAAGGUGAAGGUGAAGGUAAUCCUUCAAGGUCAAAUGUCAAAUAUAUGUCGUCUGUCCGUCCGAAAACUUUAACAUUGGCCAUAACUUUUUUAAUAUUGAAGAUAGCAACUUGAUAUUUGGCAUGCAUGUGUAUCUCAUGAAGCUGCACAUUUUGAG